rnacentral:misc_RNA from 1 species
UCCCCGUUACCGGGGCAGUCUGAUUAGAAAAAUCCAACUAAUCAUAAGGGUUGCGCUCGUUGAUGGACUUAACCAAACAUCUCACGACACGAGCUGACGACGGCCAUGCAACACCUGUCACUUGGUUCAAUAAAGCACUCUUUCCUUUCGGAAAGAUUCCAAGGAUGUCAAACCCUGGUAAGGUUCUACGCUUAACAUCGUAUUAAACAACACGCUCCACCGCUUGUGCGGGUCCCCGUCUAUUCCUUUGAGUUUUAAUCUUGCGACCGUACUCCCCAGGCGGGAUGCUUAACGCGUUAGCUUCGCAACUGAGAGGGUCGAUACCCCCAACUGCUAGCAUCCAUCGUUUACGGCGUGGACUAC